rnacentral:rRNA from 1 species
UGGGGAAUAUUGCACAAUGGGCGCAAGCCUGAUGCAGCCAUGCCGCGUGUAUGAAGAAGGCCUUCGGGUUGUAAAGUACUUUCAGCGGGGAGGAAGGGAGUAAAGUUAAUACCUUUGCUCAUUGACGUUACCCGCAGAAGAAGCACCGGCUAACUCCGUGCCAGCAGCCGCGGUAAUACGGAGGGUGCAAGCGUUAAUCGGAAUUACUGGGCGUAAAGCGCACGCAGGCGGUUUGUUAAGUCAGAUGUGAAAUCCCCGGGCUCAACCUGGGAACUGCAUCUGAUACUGGCAAGCUGGAGUCUCGUAGAGGGGGUAGAAUUCCAGGUGUAGCGGUGAAAUGCGUAGAGAUCUGGAGGAAUACCGGUGGCGAAGGCGGCCCCCUGGACGAAGACUGACGCUCAGGUGCGAAAGCGUGGGGAGCAAACAGG